CUUCACUUUCACUCUACCAAACACCAGAUGUUUUCCUUUGGUACUCCAGUUUGCUCCUGUAGUGUAGUACCAAAAUAGGUAUACCCCUCACUGAUCUUCACAAAAUGAAAAGGACUUUUAAUUCCACCACGUUGAGUGGGUUAAAGUAAUCAUUAGACCGUGGGCGUAACUCAUUCAAAACUUUGACAUUUUUUGAAUAUUGAUACAUUGCAAUAAAAAUAUUGACUUCCUUUAUAGAAAAGACCUUGCUUCCUUAAUUAAGGACCCAUGGGUUAUCAGUUAUCAUCCAGUCUCACAUUUUUGAAUAAAAAAUUUAUGAAGGCAAAAUUUGAGCGAAGGCAGACAGGUGUCUCGUGAGAAAAAAAGCCUGACGUGAACAGUUC